rnacentral:lncRNA from 1 species
CCCUCUCCCGGUGCUUUCAAUCUCAGUUAAUUUUUCUCAUUGUCCUUACAUUUCCUAGCAUCUGAAAACUUCAAGGACGUAGAGAAGAAAAACCAGCUGAGGAAUUCAACUUCUUUUCUACCUGGCUGUUAAGGUCAGGACUCCACUAUACCAGCAGACUGGCAGAUUCCCAACAGAAAGAACUCCCCACCUGGAGAACCUGCGAUCUGAAAGUCAGACAAGAAUCUCUGAACUGAGACACAGGUCUGUACAACAGCCAGAAACAAUGGGGUGCUUCUGCUUGGUGCUCCCUCAACAGACCUAAUGAAGAAGUAUAGAUUGGGAAUCUUAUUGUUGCUUUUUGAUGUAGUUUUGUGGAAAUGCAUCUCAGCAAAGCCCGGAGUUAAGAAUGAUAAGGGUGAGUGAAGGGAAUUAAUUAACCUGGUCGCACUUGUGUGGGAUGCAAGGGUGGAAUCUCAGUGAUGAAAA